rnacentral:lncRNA from 1 species
UGCGGAGUUGGAAGGUUUGUUGCUUGGUUUCGCCUGUUGGGGAAGAGAGAAUCUGCGUCGCGGUUGGUUGUGGUGAAUUUAGAAGAGCAAACCGUGGCGGCGGCGAUGUCGGUGAACAAAGGUGGAUUCGCCUGAGUGUGAAGGAGUUCGGUUAUUGACACGGGGGUGAGGUCUGGAAUUUAUCGCCGGAAUAUAUGAGGAAGACGGAGGAUGGUUCAAAAUUGACGGUGGUUGAGCGAUGAUGCGGCGACGUAGUGGUAGUGGUGGCGAUUCACGGCGGUUAUUCUAGGUUGUUUCGGCGGAAGCGAAAAUGAGGUGUUAGUGUGGUGAAAGUGUGGAAGACGACGGAGUAUUUGAAGAAGAGGAAUGGUGAUGGUUAAGGGUGAGGCGCUCAGGGAAAGAUCCAGAGGCUUCUUCUCUUUUUCCGUUUUAAUCCUUUUCUUUAUUCUUUGAGAGAGAGAGUAAGUUAGUGUCUGUUGGUCCCUUUGUGAAGUCAGCAGAAUGAGUAAAAUAUAACAAUAUCCACGGACAAAACCUUAUUCUUUUCUUUAGGUAGGUGGCGUGUAGAGUGAGGGAAACGUGAGGUGAGAGAGAAAAGACAGAGUGGGAAGUGUGAAUACCAGCUGUAACAAAAUAGGAAUCGCAAUGCUAAUUUCAUUUUAUUUUUUAAAACAACUACUAUUAUUUAAAAUUUUCUAUUAAAAUUUCUAAUAAGUAUUUUGAUUUGAAUAAAUUUUAAUUACUUUAGUUGAAUAAUUAACCUAAAAAAAUUAUCGAUUAUAAAUAAAAGCCGAAUAUAAAUUUGCUCGAAAAAUUAAAUCGGGCACACUAAAAUGAUCAGCACAAAUAUACUUAUUGAAAAAAUACAACGUUCUUUAAAUUUGAAAUAAAUUUUCACCGGUUAAAAGGCUCAGGUGGGUCAAACGCAACUGAAACAGCUGCUGAAAAAUACAACGAGCACACCAGGUUUAAACUACAUGAACCGUAGAUUAAUAAUACUGGCGUCUGCAAUUUUAAUUUCGAAACUUUUUACCCGCUGGUUUUGCACGUACUUGAGAAAUGAUUUAACCAAAUUGUCUGUAUUUUCAAGAAUUUAUUCCGACUGAUAUUUUAGAUAUUAUUAAUGAUGAAAUGCAUGUUAUGCUGUACAACUGAUGCAAAUUGAAAUAAAAAUCGAAUUUAUGAAAUUUUUAAAAUGCCCGGACAAAAUUGGGGUAUGACAGCUACCCCUAUUUCAUUAUCUUGAACUAGAAGGUAAGAAUGACAACAGUCUUCAUACAUUCGUAGUGGAAGGUAAUUAAAUACGAAAAGACCCAAAUUUUGUCCCUUGAAAUGCAAGGAAGAAGUGCAGAAACAAAAUGCAGUAAGAAAAAUUAUCAAAAGGUAAAAUGAAACAGUCAAGACUCUCUGGGAAUCGUCAGAACAGUAUCUUGGAUGUCAUGAUCAAGAUAUUCCAAUAAUGGAAUGAUACGUCAACUGUAUCUAAGACUUUCUGAAAAUUAGCAGAACAUUGUCUUGAACUGAAAACACGAUAUUCUCUAGGGAUCAACGAAGCAGUUUCUUACAUGAUAUAAUUGAGACAUUUCAACAAGGGAGUGAUACCUCAACCGAAUCUAAGAUUCUCCGAGGAUACUAGAGCAAUAUCUUUAAAAGAAAUCUGGAAUGAGACUCUUCAUAUUGAUGAAGCAGCAUCUCAACAGUAAAAGUGAGAUUCUCUGUAUCGAGUCGAAGCAGCAUCUUAUAUGAUAAAAUUAAGAUAUUCCGAACAAGGGAAUGAUACCUUAAUUGAAUCUAAGACUAUCCGAGGAUACUUAGAGCAGUAUCUCUAAAAAAUCUGAAAUGAGACUCUUCAUAUUGAUGAAGCAGUAUCUCAAACAGUAAAAAUGAGAUUCUCUGUAUCGAGUCGAAGCAGCAUCUUAUAUGAUAGAUAGAGCAGUAUCUCUAAAAAAUCUGAAAUGAGACUCUUCAUAUUGAUGAAGCAGUAUCUCAAACAGUAAAAAUGAGAUUCUCUGUAUCGAGUCGAAGCAGCAUCUUAUAUGAUAGAAUUAAGAUAUUACGAACAAGGGAAUGAUACCUUAAUUGAAUCUAAGACUCUCCGAGGAUACUUAGAGCAAUAUUUCUAAAAAAUCUGAAAUGAGACUCUUCAUAUUGAUGAAGCAGUAUCUCAAACAGUAAAAAUGAGAUUCUCUGUAUCGAGUCGAAGCAGCAUCUUAUAUGAUAGAACUAAGAUAUUCCGAACAAGGGAAUGAUACCUUUAUUGAAUCUAAGACUCUCCGAGGAUACUUAGAGCAGUAUCUCUAAAAAAUCUGAAAUGAGACUCUUCAUAUUGAUGAAGCAGUAUCUCAAACAGUAAAAAUGAGAUUCUCUGUAUCGAGUCAAAGCAGCAUCUUAUAUGAUAGAAUUAAGAUAUUCCGAACAAGGGAAUGAUACCUUAAUUGAAUCUAAGACUCUCCGAGAAUACUUAGAGUAGUAUCUCUAGAAAUCUGAAAUGAGAUUCUCCAUAUUAAUGAAGCAGUAUCUCAAACAGCAAAAAUGAGACUCUCUGUAUCGAGUCGAAGCAGCAUCUUAUAUGAUAGAAUUAAGAUAUUCCAACAAGGGAAAAAUACCUUAACCGAAUCUAAGACUCUUUGAGGAUAUUAGAGCAAUAUCUCUAAAAACAAAAAUGAGAUUCUUCAAAUGAAUGAAGCAGUAUCUCAAACAGAGAAAUGAGAUUCUUCAGAUAAAUGAAGCAGUAUCUCGAAUAUUCGUCUGUUGGGGGGGAAAUAUUUAAGAAAAGACUCCUUUUGAGGGAGAUUUACUGGAAAUGCUUUGCAGGGGGAAAAGCUCAUAAGAGACUUUUUAGGGUAACCCCUACUUGGGGAGCAAUGAUUGUAAAGAAAAUACUGGGAAUAUCAUUAUUAAUCAUAAAGUUGAAAAAUGAUUUCCUGAGAAAUAAUCCCACAAGCAUAUGCAGGGUAAUAACUUCACUUGGAAAUGAGGAAUGUCUAAGAUAAUCAUGAAUGACCUUGGAUCCUGAUAUUUAAUAUUUGACUUUUGUAUGAUGUUCCACUUUGGGUGGGAAUACCAUGCAUGGGAUGAUGCAUGAGAUGCAUGUAAAUAUGCAAUUGCUGGGGAUAUUUGGAUGCGCAUGUAGGAAUGCGAAUGAUUUUUGUUUUGUUGAAAUUCCCAUUUUGUGGGAGCGUUAUGCAUGAGUAUGCUGAUGAUUGAUAUGACUGUGUUUUUUGAAUUUUCUGUUUGGUAGGAAAACCAUGUAUGGAUGAUUCGUGUGAUGCAUGUGGGAAUGCAACUGGGUAAUUGGAUAUUUUUGAAUGCUGAUGAUUGAUAUGACUGUGUUUUUUGAAUUUUCUGUUUGGUAGGAAAACCAUGUAUGGAUGAUUCGUGUGAUGCAUGUGGGAAUGCAACUGGGUAAUUGGAUAUUUUUGUAGGGUUUAAGAUUAUUCUUGACUGCCAAUGAGGUUGGACUUUAUAUGGGAACUGCUAGAUGAGGACAUAACUUGAAGGAUAUGUUACCAGACACGAACUGGGGAAAAUAAUUAAAAUGUCAGACGAGACUGAAUUUGUUUUUGUUUGUCAGACAGAAACUGAUUUUUAAAGUAGGCUACCAGACGAGAACUGGUGAAAAUAAUUGACUACCAAACGAGAACUGGUAUCGAAAUAGGUGACCUACCAGACGAGAACUAGUAUUAAGAGAUAGUUUACCAAACGAGAACUGGUAUUUGGAAAAUGAUUUGUCGUCCAAGAACUGAUUUUUGAUAUAGUUUGCCAGACGGGAACUGGAUUUUGAAAUAAGUCGCCAGACGAGAACUGGACUUAGAAAUAAAUUGUCAGACAGGAACUGAUUUUUAAAAAGGUUGCCAGACGGGAACUGGGCUUUGAAAUAAAUUGCCAGAUGGGAACUGGGCUUUUGAAAAAGGUUGCCAGAUGAGAACUGGACUUUGAAAUAAAUUGCCAAAUGGGAACUGGACUUUUGAAAAAGGUUUGCCAGAUGAAAACUGGACUUUGUAAUAAAUUUCCAGGCGAGAACUGGACUUUGUAAUAAAUUGCCAGACGGGAACUGGACUUUGGCGUCGGAUUUUGGGUUUCAAGGAUUUUUGAUGUCAGGUUCAUGUUAUGGGUUAUGCCUGAUAAAUGAUAUGAUAUGCAUGGCUUUAUGCUAGAGCAAAGCGACAUGACUAAUGCAUGAGGAUGAUUUAUGCUAUGACUUACAAGUUUUCAAAAUGCCCAUGCGUGGGUAUUGGAAGAGAAGGUUCUUUGCAAAAAGGCUUCUGUAUGCCAGAUGGUUGUUUUAUGGGAUGAUAUCAUGAUUCCCUGACACUUGUCUCAAACUCUAUGGUUGCUGACGUGCGACCAAAUUUUUUGAUUGACCAGCUUGAAAACAUGGAGAGGACUUGCUCCUAUGAGGCUCAUCUUGCCCCAAUGUGAUGGGUCUAUGCAAAAUGUUUACCUCGAAAGGAUUUUGAAAGCAAUUGUACCAUAAUUUGGAGAUGGAUUGCCCCAGAAUUUUGAUCCAUGAAAGGAUUUAUCCUUAUGAUGGGUCUAUGCAAAAUGUUUACCUCGAAAGGAUUUUGAAAGCAAUUGUACCAUAAUUUGGAGAUGGAUUGCCCCAGAAUUUUGAUCCAUGAAAGGAUUUAUCCUUGGUUAACCGAUUCUUGGAGUGGUUGACUUUCUGUGCUCUUGAGGUAGCUUGCCCCGGUAUGAGCGUUGAAGCGACUUAACUCACCCUAACUGAACAUUGAAGGGGUCUGCCCCUGGACAAUAUAACCUCUAGCUGAUUUUCCCCUAGUUAAUAGAGUCCUGAGAUGAUUUGCUCUGGAUCAACUGAUUCUUGAAAUGAUUUGCACAUUUAUUAACAGAUGUUGGAAGCUGUUUAAGACUGGCCAAUUCUUGGAGUAAUCUUCCUAUGAUCAACUGAUGUUUAGGUGGCAUGCACCUGAUUCGUGGGUUAUGAGGUAGUCUUGAUUCGGGUUAGCACCAACGAAUGUCCAAGUUCCUCUAAUUGUUUCUUAUUGUUGGAAUUUCCUUGACGUCAAGUACUGACUUGCAGUUAAAAUUGCUUGUUCAGAAAUGGUAAUUUUAAUGCGAUACUCAUGCAAGUUUUGAAAAGAAUUUAUUUGAAUGAUGUGAUAAUGUGUGACGAGUGAACCAUUUUAAUCCAAACGCAAUGAUGAUUUAACAAUGCGAAGGAUACAACAAGAAGAUUGUACCAAAGUAAAAGAUUAGCAAAUUUUUAGGAGUCAGUUUACGCAACCUUGAUGUAGUAUGCUUUCGGAAUAAACCCUACUUCAAUUAGGUCAUUUAAGGGUUGUAACGUGGCUUGGUUCACGAUUAUCGAAACAAUGGAUAUGAGGCUUAAAAUUGUUUCUGUACCCACCCUUCUUCUUGAUAAACUCCAGUCCUAUGCUCAGUUAAUUCGCCAUACACAUUCAACUUUUAAGAGAUUUUGCAGGUGUAAGAUCUCUUGAAAUGACAGACACUUUAUUUUGCUCUUCAUGGAUAUUGGUGACCCUUUGAUUCUUGAUAUGGUGGUCACUAAAUCUUGCUUUUAUUUUGUUGAGGGUUUUCGUGACCUUCUUUGAUUUUUGUUUUGAUCCCUAACUUUUGCAUGGACUGCUUUUUGAAGCUUUAGUCCAUCGGGAUUGCCCUGGUUUUUGCCUAAGUCUCCUUUUGGCGUAUCGACUUAGCGGGCUUUUUAUUGAUUCCCUUUUUUAGAAUGUGACUGCCAAGUCAUUGGUCAUUGAAGAACAACCGUCAUAACUUUUUGAUUUUUCAAGGUUCCUUCGACACUUUAGGAUGUGUAAAUGUGACUGCCAAGUCAUUGGUCAUUGAAGAACAACCGUCAUAACUUUUUGAUUUUUCAAGGUUCCUUCGACACUUUAGGAUGUGUGCGAAGAAUGUCAUGUAGUUGAUCCACAUACUAGAUAUUUCAUCUUAUGAUUUGAAUGCAUAGUCAGAUUAACUGAACACUACCCUACCCCAGGUUUAAUGUAAGGUUUUUUAGAUCUGAAAGAAACUCCUACUUCAGGCUCGAAGUGGUUGACUAGGGAUUAACUCCUUAUCUCUCCAGUGUUUGGAAAUUUGAAACAAUGCCUGUACAUCAUCAGCAAGAUUUUAUCCGAAAGCAUAUAGUCAGCAAUUAUGGGUAACUUGUUUUCGUCAUCCUCCCUCAAAUAUUUGCUAAAACAAAGGUUAUGAUAAAGAAAAGCGAAUGGGUGAAACAAUGAUGUAUUUUUGUUUUUGAUAUAAGAGAAGAAAAAUGAGCGAAUGCGAGAUAAUUAAUUUAAAACAUGCAUCAUUACUUCAUCAAUAUUACCAUUAAAAACAACAAUGUUUAAACACAAACAGCUUUUAACAACAAAGAAACUACAAUUGCAAAAAUAGACACAAAUCAGUUCAACGAUUGCCAGUGUUGAGGAUGUCUUCCUUUUUCGAUGAAACUAUCAUAGCUUCCACAAGUUGGUCUAGCUGAUUUUUCAUCGAGUCCACAUAUCCUCCCAAUGCAAUAUGACUUUGCUCCAACGGAUCCAUGAUCUUUCAAGAGCUACUUCAAGUAUGAUAUGAGUAUCGGGAAAUCAACUGUAGGCUAUGGACGAAGGGUGGAUGAGUUUUUUUGUAUAUAUUUUGUAUGAAAGGUGAUAUGCAAUGCAUGACGAUUGCAGAUGCAAUGAUAUGUGUAUGAGUUGUAGUGACAUGUUCAGGAUCACAGGUUCAAAGUGUUUUCAGUGAUGGCACAGAAUAAACAAGGCUAAAGACAGGUAUCUCCUCUGAUAAUGCGAACCCCAUGGGUAGCCUCUACAGUUUGUAGGUUCCCAGAGUCAUGGAUAUUCUCUUAGGAUGUGACUGUCGUGAGCGGAGAACUCGUCGGACAAUAGUAUCCUUAGAGAUCUCGUCUAGGUGAGCGUCUUUGUAUUAUCCCAACAAGACUCCAUGAGGAUUCUACUACACGACUCUCGAGUCCAGGGUUCUAACAAGGUUCUUAGAGUCAUAGAUCGAGGUUGGAAAUAUUACUGUAAGAUAGUAAUACGUCCAAGGGAUCUCAUCUGAUUAGGGCUUUCGUAUUAACCCAACAAGUCUGAAACUUCAUAGGUUAAUACUACAUAACCGCCGGAUAUAAUGGGUUAAAAGGUCCCCAGAGUCAUUGAUCCAGACUUGAGAAUACUAUCGUCGUGACAAAAACUCGUCGGGCAAUAAUAUCUCAAGAGAAUCUCCUUUAGGCGGGGUCUUCGUAUCUUCCCAACAAGGAAGACUCCUUGUGGGCGCCCACUAUGCAACCACCAACUUAAUCUUAUGGUUUUUCUCAGACUCGGGUAGAGAACCUAUCUCACAAAGUAUCACCAACCAGAGAACCCCAAUAAUACAUAAUCAAUAAAUCACAAUAUAAUAAUUAUGACAGAAUAAUAAUAGCAGAAUAAAAAAUAAAUAAUAGACAAACAAACAAGAUUAACACACAAUACAGAAACUGAACUAAAUUAGGCUUCACUCUCUUUUGCUUGGAGCGUCCCCAGCAGAGUCGCCAUCUGUCGCAUCUCGAAAAAAUACGAUUCCUCGCGAUGGUCGCGGAAAAAAUUUAUGUUCGAAAAGUGUCGCCACCAAACUUUAUUUAUCCCAAUGAAGGGAUAGAAAAAUAUCGAUAAAACCUUAAGGAAAUGGAAUAAUGGUCUUCGCAACCAUAUUCGGAUUCGGGAGUGGAUUACGUAAGGGGGAGGUAUUAGCACCCCUUACGUCCGUUGUACUCAACGGGAACCUUUUAGUUCUAAUGUACGUUUCGUGUGUUAAUUUAUGCUUGUUUGUUAUCUUUGGGUUAUAAGAUAUUGAAAAAUAGAAAUGAAUGAGAACCUCAGAAAGGGAAAGGGGAGGUUUUUUUAUUAGUGUGCUCGCGAAGAUACAACAAUCUCCUGCCUACGUAUCCUUAAAUAAGGAAAUCAGAGAAUUCGUAGUUCGGGGAACUACGGUUGGUUGGUGUUUUUUAAUAAACAACUAUUUAGAUCGCGUUCUAAAGGCUAAACGCUGGCUUGUCUACUCUCGGCGGAGGCUUAAGCAUUGGUUUGUUGUGUGCAUUAGAAAGGAUUAACAGUGUUCUUUCUGCAAAGAGUUUUGGUCACACGGGGGUGACAAGUUGGAUUAAUAUGUUGGAUGUUUUGAUUGGUUGAGAUGUUUUUGGUUGGAUGAUGAUUAUUUAGAUAGUCGAGUAAGACAACUCGUAUCCUAACAAACAGGAAAGGGAAUAGAAGACUCUAAUCCAUUUUAUUUUUCAUCCUUAAUUGUAAAAGGAUUUUAAUGAUGAUUAGGGUGUUUUUGAAUGGAUGACGAAUACUCGGAUAGUCGAGUAAGACAACUCGUAUCCUAAUAAUCGGGAAAGGGAAUAAAAGACUCUAGACCACGUUCUUUUGCAUCUGAGUGAUUAUGAAAAUAGGUUUGCGUAUGGUUGGUGUAUUUUAGAAUGAACGACAAGUACUUGAAUGUCUAAGUAAGAUAACUCAUAUCCAAGCAUUUGAGAAGGGGAAUUGAAAACUCAAGACCAUCUCUCUUUUCGUACAAUUUUGAUUGAUUUAUUGAUUUGCGGAAAAAUGACAAUUGUUCGACUAAUCGAGUAAGAGAAAUCGUAUUCAAACAGAUGAGGAGAGAAGUUGAAAACUCAAAGUCAUCUCCCUUUUCAUUUAGCUUAUUACGAAAAUAAUUUGAUUUAAUCGGGUUUAGAAGUUUGUAACGAAAUGACGAGUGUUUAACUGACCGAGUAAGAGAACUCGUAUUCAAACAAUCGAGGAGAGAAGUUGAAGACUCAAAGUCAUCUCCUUUUUCAUUUCAUUAUUAUAAAAGUGUUUUGAUUUAAUCGGGGUUUGUGCUUAAGUGGAUUAGAGAUGACAAUCAUUCGAUUAACCGAGUAAAAGAAUUCGUAAACAAUCGAGAGAGGAGUUGAAAACUCAAAACCAUCUCCUUUCGUAUAUGUUUGAAAAUGAUUAGGAAUUUUCUAUAGUGAUCAAUCUUUAAUUAACAAAAAUUAUUAAUUAAAAUUUAACUAACCACUUAAUUAAUAUAAUCAAAUUAUUUUGAUUAAAUCAAAUAUUCAAGGUAAUUAAAAUUAAUUAUUAAAAUUAACUAUUUAAUGAAUUUUUAAUUAACUGAUAUAUAUACCUAGAACAAAGUUGACUUGAAUAAUUGAAGCGAAUUAACGCACAAUGUGCUCAAAGUCGGUUCGUACAUAGCGACAAUGGUAUUGAAAUGUUGUACAUAAUGGACCGAAACGCGGCGAAAUUGUAUCGAUUUAGACAUAAAACUAGCCCUUAAGUUCAAAACAUUACAAAAAGAGUUACCUAAAUCGAUAAGAAACAAACCAGAAUUUAUAGAUUAAAUUAACCUAUUACUUAAACCUAUAGAAAAGCACCCAAUAAAUAAAUAGAGGAUAAAAAAGCUAAACUUAGAAAAACUUAAUGAUUUCUAACUUUUAAUUAUUAUUUUACAAAGCAAAAUUUCUUACUUGAAUGAAAAUGAUAAUUAAGAAACAAAAAGAACAAGAGAAAAGUCAACCAUUUAUUUUCCAUCACCACACUAUUAAUGCUAUAAAAUAUCAUGAUCCAUAUUCACACUACCAGUACUAUGAUAAAUUAUAUAAAACACAAAUUUACACCAUCCAUAUCAGUGGUCAUUAUGCAGAAAAAUUUAGACAUAAAACUCACACUAUCAGCAGGCAAAUCUCUAACAGAUCCAAGAGGAAAAAUCCGGAAUAAAAGAGAGCUUUGUCAUCCUUCACCAAUCAAAUUCAUAAACAAAAGUAUAUAUCCUCCAUUAACAAAACGUUUCACGGGAUCGAAUCUACAACAACAAGACAUACAAACACCGUCGUGGAAUCGAAUAAAAGACAUACACAAAGUAGUAUAAUACAAAAAAUAAAUCAUGUUGUUACCACGAUGUCGAAGGUUGUUGUCGUGAAUGGUCGGUCGAAGAAAUUCGGCAUUGAGAUUUAUGCAAUAAAGCCGACAUGUAAUGCAACCAUAUUGAAACCGAAACAAAUAUUAUAGCUAUAAGCAUGAUUUAACAGCUAGAACAGAAGCAGAAUAUGAUACAAGUUCCUGUUUAUAACAUUAUUUUCAACAUUAUAAUAUCAAAUACCAAAACGGUAUAACCCAAUCGGAAAGGAAGUAAAUAUGCAAUUGAAACGGAAACAUAAUCGAAACAUUUACACGUCGAAGCUGCGAAUGAUAUUCAAUUUUAAACGCGACAACUUAAGCACACAACAACAACAACACGAUCACAUCGAAAAUACCCCGGAAAAGAACAUUAUGAUAUUCUAAACCAACAAUCAACAUAGAUUAAUGCAACCAAAUCUAAAUCAAAACAGUGGCUAUAACCAACAGCAUAAUAUCAAGGAAAACACAACACAAACUGUUACCGUAACGCUAAACCACUUUAAUCCCGCAGCAAGAAAAUGAUAACAUUAAACAUGUAACAAAUUCAUUGCAAUAAAUACCAAACUGGUUCAAUACAACUCAAUAUGAAGUUUAAUAUGUCUAUGAAAUCAACAUGAUGCGAUUAACGGAAGGUAAAGAGAAUAACAUUAAAAAAUAUUGGAUAUAACAAUAAACAAAAGCCUUGCCCAUAAGAGCCACUUCUCCAAACAGAAAACCAACUGGACAUGACAAAUGCAAGUAGCAAUUCAAAUUAUCAUAAUAACAAAAAGCCUUCUAAAGUUGGUUACAACAACACCUUGGUAAGACAAUUUACAAACUAGAACACAAUAGGAAACCAGUAGAAAACAAUGAGGCCAUAGUCAUAUUCAAAAAACACUACCUAAUGGAAUCAACUAAAGUUGGUUACAACAACACCUUGGUAAGACAAUUUACAAACUAGAACACAAUAGGAAACCAGUAGAAAACAAUGAGGCCAUAGUCAUAUUCAAAAAACACUACCUAAUGGAAUCAAUCUCAGAAUAUCCACACUCUAUAAUACUUGCAACAGUUUGUGACACAACAGAAAUUAAUAAAAGUUUAAUGUAAUAACAGAGUUAAUCUCAAAAUCACAACACCACAAGCAUACGAAAUUGAUAUUUUUACCGAAGCGGUGUCACUGCUGUCGUUUGUUGUCGCUGCGGAGUUGGAAGGUUUAUUGCUUGGUUUCGCCUGUUGGGGAAGAGAGAAUCUGCGUCGCGGUUGGUUGUGGUGAAUUUAGAAGAGCAAACCGUGGCGGCGGCAAUGUCGGUGAACAGAGGUGGAUUCGCCUGAGUAUGAAGGAGUUCGGUUAUUGACACGGGGGUGAGGUCUGGAAUUUAUCGCCAGAAUAUAUGAGGAAGACGGAGGAUGGUUCAAAAUUGACGGUGGUUGAGCGAUGAUGCGGCAACGUAGUUGUAGUGGUGGCGAUUCACGACGGUUAUUCUAGGUUGUUUCGGCGGAAGCGAAAAUGAGGUGUUAGUGUGGUGAAAGGGUGGAAGACGAUGGAGUAUUUGAAGAAGAGGAAUGGUGAUGGUUAAGGGUGAGGCGCUCAGGGAAAGAUCCAGAGGCUUCUUCUCUUUUUCCGUUUUAAUCCUUUUCUUUAUUCUUUGAGAGAGAGAGAGUAAGUUAGUGUCUGUUGGUCCCUUUGUGAAGUCAGCAGAG